rnacentral:misc_RNA from 1 species
UUAAGUUCAGCGGGUAUUCCUACCUGAUCCGAGGUCAACCUUUCAGAAGUGGGGGGUUUAACGGCGUGGCCGCGCUGCGCUCCAGCGCGAGUGUUGCUACUACGCGGAGGAAGCUGCAGCGAGACCGCCACUGGAUUUGGGGGACGCCCGCCGCGGGGGGCGGGCCGAUCCCCAACACCAAGCCCGGGGGCUUGAGGGUU